GAGGAUUCCUUGAGCCCAGGAGUUUGAGGCUACAGUGAGCUACGAUCACACCACUGCACUCCAGCUUCAGCUAUGAAGCAAGACUCCAUCUUUAAGAAACAAAGAAAGAAAAGAGAACAGUGGUUGCCUUUGAAGGCAGAGAAAACAAAGAAUUUUGUCAGCCGAAGCCUUGUCAUAGGAGAAGUCCUCUCCAUGGCGGACAUGGCCACAGGAGUGAAGUGCGGAAUAAUUUAUUGGCUAUUUGGUGGUGCUAUCAGGAAUCUCGG
rnacentral:lncRNA from 10 species